rnacentral:rRNA from 1 species
AACAACCCAGACCGCCAGCUAAGGUCCCAAAGUUGUGGUUAAGUGGUAAACGAUGUGGGAAGGCUUAGACAGCUAGGAGGUUGGCUUAGAAGCAGCCACCCUUUAAAGAAAGCGUAAUAGCUCACUAGUCGAGUCGGCCUGCGCGGAAGAUGUAACGGGGCUCAAACCACACACCGAAGCUGCGGGUGUCACGCAAGUGACGCGGUAGAGGAGCGUUCUGUAAGCCUGUGAAGGUGAGUUGAGAAGCUUGCUGGAGGUAUCAGAAGUGCGAAUGCUGACAUGAGUAACGACA